CCGCACGCGUCGGGAGAGCGCGCUGGCCGCUGAAAAAUCGCAGGCCGCGCCGCCGAAGGGGCACACCCGCAAACUCUCAGGCAAAAGGACCGACCGCGUCGAA
rnacentral:ncRNA from 2 species